CAAUAUUUCCUAAUUUUUACUUCUACUAAAAGAGAUGUAACUUAGUUUGAGAAACUCACCUUGUUAAUUUGAUCACAAAAUAGGAAAUUGAUGGAAAUAGCGAAAAAUAUGAGCUUCUUCAAUUUUCACAUACCUUCUUAAUCCUUGUCUUUGUGUCACUGAAAUUUCAGUUUUCUGGAAUUAAAGCUCUAUGUAUUUACUAUUUCUUCUGAUUCAUGAAUGUUCUCAAAUUUUCUAGAGCUCUAACUCCCAACUUCAAGCUUCUCCACUUCGAAGCUCAAGCUUUUAACUCAUCAGGAAAGAACCCAUAACCCUAGCUUCUCCAACCAUAACCUUGAAAUUUCAAUCACCCAUACUAUUGUGGUUGUAUGCAACUAAGAUUUGGAGUGAAAUUGGAGAUUGGGAGAGAAAGGUUAUGGCGUGAGAAAGAGAAAGAGAGUUGAGGAAAGAUUUUUUNNNNNNUUUUUUUUUUUUUUUUUUUUCAAAAUUGCCUCACCUGAUGCUUC
rnacentral:lncRNA from 1 species